AACGCGAAGAACCUUACCAAGUCUUGACAUCCCUCUGAAUCCAUUAGAGAUAGUGGCGGCCUUCGGGACAGAGGAGACAGGUGGUGCAUGGUUGUCGUCAGCUCGUGUCGUGAGAUGUUGGGUUAAGUCCCGCAACGAGCGCAACCCUUGAUUUUAGUUGCCAGCAGGUGAAGCUGGGCACUCUAGAAUGACUGCCGGUGACAAACCGGAGGAAGGCGGGGAUGACGUCAAAUCAUCAUGCCCCUUAUGACUUGGGCUACACACGUACUACAAUGGUCGAUACAACGGGAAGCGAAAGAGCGAUCUGGAGCCAAUCCUAUCAAAGUCGAUCUCAGUUCGGAUUGCAGGCUGCAACCCGCCUGCAUGAAGUCGGAAUUGCUAGUAAUCGCGGAUCAGCAUGCCGCGGUGAAUACGUUCCCGGGCCUUGUACACACCGCUACAGU
rnacentral:rRNA from 1 species